rnacentral:rRNA from 1 species
UGGGGGAUAUUGCACAAUGGGCGCAAGCCUGAUGCAGCGACGCCGCGUGGGGGAUGAAGGCCUUCGGGUUGUAAACUUCUUUUGCUCUGAACAAGGCGCACUUUGGGGUGUGUUGAGUGUAGGGGUUGAUUAGCGCCGGCUAACUACGUGCCAGCAGCCGCGGUAAUACGUAGGGCGCGAGCGUUGCCCGGAAUUAUUGGGCGUAAAGGGCUUGUAGGUGGCUGGUUGCGUCUGUCGUGAAAGCUCAUGGCUUAACUGUGGGUUUGCGGUGGGUACGGGCUGGCUUGAGUGCAGGAGGGGAGGCUGGAAUUCCUGGUGUAGCGGUGGAAUGCGCAGAUAUCAGGAGGAAUACCGGUGGCGAAGGCGGGUCUCUGGGCUGUUACUGACACUGAGGAGCGAAAGCAUGGGGAGCGAACAGGA